rnacentral:rRNA from 1 species
GACCGUGCGAAGGUAGCAUAAUCAUUUGCCUUAUAAUUGAAGGCUUGUAUGAAUGGUUUGACAAGAAUAAAGCUGUCUCUUUGUGAUUAAAUAAAAUUUUAUUUAUAGGUGAAGAAGCCUGUAUUAAAUUGAAAGACAAGAAGACCCUAUCGAGCUUUAAAAAAGUUAAUAAGCUUAAAAUACAUAUUUAUAUUGAAUUAAUUAUUAAAAAUUUUGGUUGGGGCGACUGAGGAACAAACAAAGCUUCCUAAUAAUUUAGAUACACUCUAGUACUGAUCCAUAUAUUGUGAUUAAAGAAAUUAGUUACCGUAGGGAUAACAGCAUUAUCUUUUUUGAGAGCCCAAAUCGAAAAAAAGGUUUGUGACCUCGAUGUUGGACCAGAAUGUCCUGAAGAUGUAGCCGUCUUCAAAGGUUGGUCUGUUCGACCAUUAAAAUUYUACGUGAUCUGAGUUCAGACCGGCGUGAGCCAGGUCAGUUUCUAUCUUCAAUUUUUUAUGUGAACUUAGUACGAAAGGAUCAGUUUAGAAUAAAAAUUAUUUUGCUUGAUGUAAUAUAAAAAAAAAUUUAAUAAGUAGAUCAUAAGGUUUAAAAUCAAAUUAGCAAAGAUAAUGCAAUUGACUUAGAAUCAAUAGACAUAGGUGAAAUUCCUUUAUUUGAUAUAAAUAAAGGUG